UAACGCGUGGGAAUCUGCCUAUCAGUGGGGAAUAACGACGGGAAACUGUCGCUAAUACCGCAUACGCCCUUAGGGGGAAAGAUUUAUCGCUGAUAGAUGAGCCCGCGUACGAUUAGCUAGUUGGUGAGGUAGUGGCUCACCAAGGCUACGAUCGUUAGUUGGUCUGAGAGGAUGAUCAGCCACACUGGGACUGAGACACGGCCCAGACUCCUACGGGAGGCAGCAGUGGGGAAUAUUGGACAAUGGGCGAAAGCCUGAUCCAGCAAUGCCGCGUGAGUGAUGAAGGCCUUAGGGUUGU
rnacentral:rRNA from 1 species